rnacentral:lncRNA from 10 species
GCCACGUGACAGGGGGGUCACGCGCAGGGUCGUAGGGGACCGCCUGGGGAUCCCCGGACGGCUGCGAGGAAUGAGCGGUUGGCUCGGGCUGGUUUCCUCCCUCCACCGCCUGCUUGUUUCGCCAUGCCCGGGCCGGACGGUGGGGCUGCAGCGGCGAAAGCGACUGAAGUCCGGGAGCAGUCGCAUGAGCUUCCCGGUCACCAGGAGGCCCCGGGAACAGACACCUCACCCUGACAUUGUGGCAGGAACUUCUGGAUUGCUUUCCAAAGUGGCUGCACUGUUUUCUAUCCCCACUGGGCAGGAAAACAUCUAAGAAAGGAGGCUCCCCCCUUCCCUUGCAGGGUUACCAGCAAUUAAAAAGAAGUACUAGAGAGGCAAAUAUCGGCAGUAUACAUCUAAGCGCUGGUCGGAAAAGAAGGAACUCAGCCCAAGAACUUGCCCAAUCUGAUACUGGAGGUGCCACUCAAGAACCACUCCCUCCAAGAUGUUUUCCUGGAUUUCCUCAGCCUAAAGUAAUCCCUCUUUUUCCUGGGCUAUACCAUCUGGAACAGAUGACUUCCAAGGACACCGUAGCAAAGAAAAAGAGAACUGGAAGCCCAUGUGCCUUAAUCGCUUCAUCCUAGAGAUGAAUGUGUUUCUCACAAACUUGGGGGCCCAUCUGGGAUCUCUGUGCCUGCGUGGAGUUGGACUCCAGCCAAGAGGGGAGAGGCGUCCCACCUGAUUUAAGUGGCCUGCUCUGUCUGGGAAUCCCGGCUCCCUGCAGAGGCCAUAGACAAACCUGAGACUGUUAUUCAGGAGGCAGUGGAGGUGACACAGGGAGAAAAGCAGGCACCGUGGCAACCAGGCAACCUCAUGUACGAGCCAAGGAGAAGAAGCAGCAGACACCAAUGCAGGAUUGGUCUUCCACUUCCAGUCUGGACAAGAUAGCAUAGACUCAUUUCUCCCUGCUUCUCCCAGUGAACUACAGGACCAUGUGAGGAAUAACUCUGCCCAGAGAAAUCUGUUCAAACCUCAGGGUCUGCGGCUUUUAUGUGUAGAGGAACAGCUCUGUCAUGGCAACCUGACAACAGAGACCACACAGACAAAGACUUGACCUGCAGUUUAUCUGAAUCUUGGCAGAACUCCUUGUGAUCUUCUCGGUAUACAAGAGGAUAAGAGGUCCCUUUUGUUUUGAUGUCAUCCUUUUUGGUGUGUGAAACAAGGACCACAGGGAGCUGGCACCUUUGGCUACACUUCUUUUCACUCCCCAGCACUCUCACUCGUUCAUUCUGAUGAAGCCUGCUGCCACGUUGUGAGAUGCUCUAUGGGGUGGCCCACAUGGCAAGGAAUCAAGGGAAGCCUCUAGCCAACACCUUGUGAAGAACUGAGUCCUUCGUCCAACAGCCCACAAAGAGCCAAAUCCUGACAACAACCAUGUGAGUGAACUUGGAAGCAGAUCCUCCUGGUUAAGUCUUCAGGUAAGACUGAACCCCUGGCUGACACCUUGAUUGCAGCCUUGGAAGAAACCCUGAAACAAAAGACUCAGCGAAGCCAUGUCUGGAUUAUGUUUUGAGCUCCUGAAUUUUGGGGUAAUUUGUUAAUUUGUUAUGCAAUAUGAACUAAUAUACCUUCCAAGAAGUAACCACUGUCCUAAAUGUGCUGUUUAUCAUUCUCAUACGUGUGUGUGUGUGUGUAUAUAUAUAUAUAUAUUUGUAUGAUCAUUCCCAUGCAUGUGUAUAUAUAUAAAUUGAUUAAAUGUUUUUAUUCCAGUCUGCCAUGGAAGAAG